rnacentral:rRNA from 1 species
UACGGAGGGGGCUAGCGUUGUUCGGAAUUACUGGGCGUAAAGCGCACGCAGGCGGUCUUCCAAGUCAGAGGUGAAAUCCCCAGGCUCAACCUGGGAAUUGCCUUUGAGACUGUUAGACUAGAGGUCGGGAGAGGGUAGUGGAAUUCCCAGUGUAGAGGUGAAAUUCGUAGAUAUUGGGAAGAACACCAGUGGCGAAGGCGGCUACCUGGACCGAUACUGACGCUGAGGCACGAAAGCGUGGGGAUCAAACAGG